ACCAGUGUGGCAUAGUGGUUUGAGCAUUGGACUACUACUGUGUAGACCAGGGUUCGAAUCCCUGCUCAAGUG